CAGUAGCCGCGGGAAUACGGAGGGGGCUAGCGUUGUUCGGGAUUACUGGGCGUAAAGCGCACGUAGGCGGCUUGGUAAGUUAGAGGUGAAAGCCCGGAGCUCAACUCCGGAAUUGCCUUUAAGACUGCCGAGCUAGUAGGUGAGAGAGGUAAGUGGAAUUCCGAGUGUAGAGGUGAAAUUCGUAGAUAUUCGGAAGAACACCAGUGGCGAAGGCGGCUUACUGGCUCAUUCUAGACGCUGAGGUGCGAAAGCGUGGGGAGCAAACAGGAUUAGAUACCCCCGUAGUCCCUGUCUCUUAUAC
rnacentral:rRNA from 1 species